rnacentral:rRNA from 1 species
AACGAACGCUGGCGGCAUGCCUAACACAUGCAAGUCGAGCGCUCCCUUCGGGGUUAGCUUCUGACGGUUGAUUAACGCGUGGUAACUUACCCUUUUCUACGGUAUAUCCUCGGGAAACUUAGCUUAAUACCGUGUUCGCCCUUUCGGCGUAAGAUUUAUCGUAACAUGAUCGUCCCGCGUUGGAUUAGGUAGUUGGUGUGGUAAUUGCCUACCAAGCCGAAGAUCCAUAGCUGGUUUGAGAGGAUGAUCAGCCACACUGGGACUGAGACACGGCCCAGACUCCUACGGGAGGCAGCAGUGGGGAAUCGUAGACAAUGGGGGCAACCCUGAUCUAGCCAUGCCGCGUGAGUGAUGAAGGCCUUAGGGUUGUAAAGCUCUUUCAGCUGGGAAGAUAAUGACGGUACCAGCAGAAGAAGCCCCGGCUAACUCCGUG